GAUCCUGGCUCAGGAUGAACGCUGGCGGCGUGCUUAACACAUGCAAGUCGAGCGAUGAAGUUUCCUUCGGGAAACGGAUUAGCGGCGGACGGGUGAGUAACACGUGGGUAACCUGCCUCAUAGAGUGGAAUAGCCUUCCGAAAGGAAGAGUUAAUACCGCAUAAUGUUGAAAGAUGGCAUCAUCAUUCAACCAAAGGAGCAAUCCGCUAUGAGAUGGACCCGCGGCGCAUUAG
rnacentral:rRNA from 1 species